GAAUUCGCCCUUAGAGUUUGAUCCUGGCUCAGGACGAACGCUGGCGGCGUGCCUAACACAUGCAAGUCGAACGGAACCCCUUGGAAAGAGUUUUCGGACAAUGGAAGAGGGCGUUUAGUGGCGGACGGGUGAGUAACGCGUGAGCAAUCUACCUUUCAGAGGGGGACAACAGUUGGAAACGACUGCUAAUACCGCAUAACGUAUCUUUGCGGCAUCGUAGGGAUACCAAAGAUUUAUCGCUGAGAGAUGAGCUCGCGUCCAAUUAGCUAGAUGGCGGGGUAAAGGCCCACCAUGGCGACGAUUGGUAGCCGGACUGAGAGGUUGAACGGCCACAUUGGGACUGAGACACGGCCCAGACUCCUACGGGAGGCAGCAGUGGGGGAUAUUGCGCAAUGGGGGAAACCCUGACGCAGCAACGCCGCGUGAAGGAAGAAGGUCUUCGGAUUGUAAACUUUUGUCUUGUGGGACGAAUCAAUGACGGUACCACAGGAGGAAGCCACGGCUAACUACGUGCCAGCAGCCGCGGUAAAACGUAGGGUGCAAGCGUUGUCCGGAAUUACUGGGUGUAAAGGGAGCGCAGGCGGACCGGCAAGUUGGAAGUGAAAACUAUGGGCUUAACCCAUAAAUUGCUUUCAAAACUGCUGGCCUUGAGUAGUGCAGAGGUAGGUGGAAUUCCCGGUGUAGCGGUGGAAUGCGUAGAUAUCGGGAGGAACACCAGUGGCGAAGGCGACCUACUGGGCACCAACUGACGCUGAGGCUCGAAAGCAUGGGUAGCAAACAGGAUUAGAUACCCUGGUAGUCCAUGCCGUAAACGAUGAUU
rnacentral:rRNA from 1 species